AACGAACGCUGGCGGCAUGCCUAACACAUGCCAGUCGAACGAGACCUUCGGGUCUAGUGGCGCACGGGUGCGUAACGCGUGGGAACCUGCCCUUAGGUUCGGAAUAACUCCCCGAAAGGGGUGCUAAUACCGGAUAAUGUCUUCGGACCAAAGAUUUAUCGCCUUUGGAUGGGCCCGCGUUGGAUUAGCUAGUUGGUAGGGUAAAAGCCUACCAAGGCGACGAUCCAUAGCUGGUCUGAGAGGAUGAUCAGCCACACUGGGACUGAGACACGGCCCAGACUCCUACGGGAGGCAGCAGUGGGGAAUAUUGGACAAUGGGCGAAAGCCUGAUCCAGCAAUGCCGCGUGAGUGAUGAAGGCCUUAGGGUUGUAAAGCUCUUUUACCCGGGAUGAUAAUGACAGUACCGGGUGAAUAAGCUCCGGCUAACUCCGUG
rnacentral:rRNA from 1 species